GGAUCAAGGGAUCGGUCAUGCCUCCGGUAUGUACUGGUCUCACUGAUUCCUCCUUCCUGAUGAACCGUAAUGCCAUUAAUUUGGUGUUGCGGGGAAUUUGGACUGUUACUUUGAAAAAAUUAGAGUGUUUAAAGCAAGCUAACGCUUGAAUACAUUAGCAUGGAAUAAUGAAAUAGGACGUUCGAUCCUAUUUUGUUGGUUUCUAGGAUUGACGUAAUGAUUAAUAGGGAUAGUUG
rnacentral:rRNA from 1 species